rnacentral:ribozyme from 1 species
GGUGUGCAAUAGACUUACCUCCACGUGGUGCACACUGGGCAACGUAUACUCAUUCGGCAAAAAGGUCUAU